AACGAACGCUGGCGGCAUGCCUAACACAUGCAAGUCGAACGAGACCUUCGGGUCUAGUGGCGCACGGGUGCGUAACGCGUGGGAACCUGCCCUUAGGUUCGGAAUAACUCCCCGAAAGGGGUGCUAAUACCGGAUAAUGUCUUCGGACCAAAGAUUUAUCGCCUUUGGAUGGGCCCGCGUUGGAUUAGCUAGUUGGUAGGGUAAAAGCCUACCAAGGCGACGAUCCAUAGCUGGUCUGAGAGGAUGAUCAGCCACACUGGGACUGAGACACGGCCCAGACCCCUAGGGGAGGCAGGAGGGGGAAAUAUUGGAAAAGGGGCGAAAGCCUGACCCAGAAAUGCCGGGUGAGGGAAGAAGGCUUUGGGGUUGAAAAGCUUUUUUACCCGGGAAGAAAAUGAAAGUACGGGGAGAAAAAGCUCCGGAUAACCCCGU
rnacentral:rRNA from 1 species